AGAGUUUGAUCAUGGCUCAGGACGAACGCUGGCGGCGUGCCUAACACAUGCAAGUCGAGCGAUGAAACCUUUCGGGGUGGAUUAGCGGCGGACGGGUGAGUAACACGUGGGUAACCUGCCUCAAAGAGGGGAAUAGCCUCCCGAAAGGGAGAUUAAUACCGCAUAAUAUGUUUUAAUCGCAUGAUUGAAAUAUCAAAGGAUUUUUCUUCGGAAAUUUCCACUUUGAGAUGGACCCGCGGCGCAUUAGCUAGUUGGUGAGGUAACGGCUCACCAAGGCAACGAUGCGUAGCCGACCUGAGAGGGUGAUCGGCCACAUUGGAACUGAGACACGGUCCAGACUCCUACGGGAGGCAGCAGUGGGGAAUAUUGCGCAAUGGGGGAAACCCUGACGCAGCAACGCCGCGUGAAUGAUGAAGGCCUUCGGGUUGUAAAGUUCUGUCUUCUGGGACGAUAAUGACGGUACCAGAGGAGGAAGCCACGGCUAACUACGUGCCAGCAGCCGCGGUAAUACGUAGGUGGCAAGCGUUGUCCGGAUUUACUGGGCGUAAAGGAUGCGUAGGCGGACAUUUAAGUCAGAUGUGAAAUACCCGAGCUUAACUUGGGUGCUGCAUUUGAAACUGGGUGUCUAGAGUGCAGGAGAGGUAAGUGGAAUUCCUAGUGUAGCGGUGAAAUGCGUAGAGAUUAGGAAGAACACCAGUGGCGAAGGCGACUUACUGGACUGUAACUGACGCUGAGGCAUGAAAGCGUGGGGAGCAAACAGGAUUAGAUACCCUAGUAGUCC
rnacentral:rRNA from 1 species